CAAGAAGUAGCUUACUUAGAAUAUCGGCUUUGGGUGCCUGAUGGUGGGGGCAAAU
rnacentral:tRNA from 1 species